UGGAGCACACCAACAUCUUUCGGUGAGUUGAUAGCCUACAUGGAGGGCUCUCGACCUAUCUAUUGGGACCUGUGGGCAUGAAACGCAGCGUCCCCAAGCAAAAGGGACGUCAGUACGAAUAAUGUAUUGAGUAUGUAAGGCACAUAAAUAAAUACAUAAGAGACAUGAAAGACAUAUAGAGUAUAUGACUCAACCUGUAAGUCUGAAUAACUUUGUAAAUCAUAAAUUAUUUUAGCGUCAUGCGUAUGCGUAUGAAUGUCAUGCGGUGCAUAGGUACAUGUUUCAUAACAUCAUCAGCCUCUGAGGGCAUCCCAUCAUAUCAUAUCGGCCACUACGGGCAAAAUCAUCAUCAUAUACCAGCUGAUCAGGUAGUGGUGCGUAUAUAACGUCAUAACCUUUCCCAUAUCCCAUAUACAUAUAUACAUACAUAUAUACGCGUAUAUAACGCUAUUUGAAUCAUAUUUACAUAUAUAUGCGUAUAUAACGCCGUUUGAAUCAUAUUUCGGCCACUAUGGGCAACAUCAUCAUCAUAUACCAGCUGAUCAGGUGGUGAUGCGUAUAUAACGCCAUAACUUUUUCCUAUAUCCCAUAUACAUAUAUUUACAUAUAUACGCGUAUAUAACGACAUCUGGUCAUGGGUCAAUGCAUAUGAAUGCAGUACAUAAAAAGUAUGUCAAUAAAAUCAUUCAGAAUGUCAUAAGACCAUUUUGCCUCUGAGUAAUAUUAUAAAGUAAACUCUUUUCAACUUUCGUAUUUUUCUGAGACCCAUGAACAGAUGAUAAGAUAUUAUAACACACGAAAAUUCAAAAACAUAAAUAUCUCUAAUAUAUCUAUGAAUAGAGUCAUUCAUGGAAUUUGUGCAUUUGCACGUUCCGUUCGUAUCGUAUGGAUUAUGCCAAAAGAAAGAAGUGAUAGCUUUAACAUACCUGUUCCUGAAAAAUAUGAACGAAACUACGCUUCAAAUUCCUUGAAAUUGAAAUGAAUUUGCCUUCUGCUUCUAAAGCUUUGUGAACCAAAGAAUGGAUUUAAGCAAAAAUUUGUUCCAACGUUUUGCUUCAAGCUUCUGUUCCAAAGAUUUUGGUUUCCAUCCAAGGACAUGAAAUGAUUUUGGUUUCAAAUUCUAGAUUUCAACGUUUUUUUAAGACUUGGAAUGAAUACUUCUAAGGAUUGACGUUUCUGUUUCUUGCUAACUCACAUUUUUUGGUUCCUUCAUAUUCG
rnacentral:lncRNA from 1 species